rfam:Oryza sativa (indica cultivar-group) chromosome 7, whole genome shotgun sequence.
AAUAAGCGUAGUCAUGAGUUUCCACGUCCAACUUUGAUUAUCCGUCUUAUUUAAAAUUUUUUUAUAAUUAGCAUUUUUGUUGUUAUGAGAUAAUAAAACAUAAAUAUUACUUUACUUGUGAUUUAUGUUUUUAUUUUUUAAAAAAAUCUCAAAUAAGACGAACGGUUAAAGUUAGGCGCGGAAAACUAUUGUUGUACUUAUU